rnacentral:tRNA from 1 species
CGGGCAGUAGCUCAGUGGUAGAGCUCCCGCUUCUUAUGCGGGAAGCCCUAGGCUCGAUUCCUGGCUGCUUAC